rnacentral:rRNA from 1 species
AACGCGGGGAAGUGAAACAUCUCAGUACCCGUAGGAAGAGAAAACAAUUGUGAUUCCGUGAGUAGUGGCGAGCGAAAGCGGAUGUGGCCAAACCGUGUGUGUGUUCAAGCCGGCAGGUGUUGCAUGUGCGGGGUUGUGGGGGCCUUGUGGUUCUGCUGCCGCAGGAUUGGCCAGUGAGAAAUGUUGCGUGAAGGUGAAGCGUCUGGGAAGGCGUACCGGAGUGGGUGAGAGUCCUGUAACUGUAAGCGUGGCACUGGUGUGGGGUUGCCCCGAGUAGCGUGGGACUCGUGGAAUUUCGCGUGAAUCUGGCGGGACCACCCGUCAAGCCUAAAUACUCCUUGGUGACCGAUAGUGGAUGAGUACCGUGAGGGAAGGGUGAAAAGUACCCCGGGAGGGGAGUGAAAGAGUACCUGAAACCGUGUGCUUACAAGUAGUCAGAGC